UACGUAGGUGGCAAGCGUUGUCCGGAUUUACUGGGUGUAAAGGGCGUGUAGCCGGGCUUACAAGUCAGAUGUGAAAUCCGGGGGCUCAACCUGGGAACUGCUUUGGAAACUGUAUGGCUGGAGUGCUGGAGAGGUAAGCGGAAUUCCUAGUGUAGCGGUGAAAUGCGUAGAUAUUAGGAGGAACACCAGUGGCGAAGGCGGCUUACUGGACGGUAACUGACGUUGAGGCUCGAAAGCGUGGGGAGCAAACAGG
rnacentral:rRNA from 1 species